AUGGCUUUUUACCUGUGCCCCAGGACAGAUGAAUCUGCUUCUGGUCCUUCUGUCCUUUCCUACUGCAGUUUACUUCACUGGGGGUAGGGGUUCCCUCCAUUACCAUGUCUCAACCUGUCUUGCUGCUCUGUCUUUUGUUUUGCAGAAGCUGUUCAGUCAUCCUUCAGUUCUUCUUCAGGAGGAAGUGAUGUAUAAAUAGAGGUCUGGUCUGUCUGUGGAGGAGAUCCCCCUCACCCGUGGGCACCCUCAGAGUUCUGCAGACCUCAUCUCCACAAACUCCCACCCCACAGCAGAGAGCCAGUCUGAAUGCAGGCAAGGAAGAGACCAGAAACGAGAGAAAUUAACUACUUUCAAGUAGUUAAUGACUGGAGGAUGUGAGAGCUACUUCAGAUGUGAAGAUAGCAAGGCAGAAACUUCAAGGAAUAUGAAGAAAAUCAAGGAAACAUGAUACUGCCAAAGGAUCACAAUAAUCUAUCAGUAACUGAUCUCAAAGACAUGGAAAUGUGAUUUUCCCAAUAAAUAUUUCAAAGUAGCUGUGUUAAGGAAACCCAAAGAGCUACAAAAAACACAGAAACAUAUCUUGAUAUUAGGAAAACAGACAUGAACAAAAUCAAAAUUUCUCAGAGAAAUCAUAAAAAAGAACCAAACAUUCUGGAGCAGAAUAAUAUAAUAAAUGAAACAAAAAUGCACUAAAGAGCAUCAACAACACAAUGGAUUAAGCAGAAGAAAGAAUCUGUGAGUUAGAAGACAGAACUAUAAAUUAUCUGUUCAGAGAAGAAAAAGAGUGAAGUCUACAUGAAUCAUGGUGCAUCAUCAAACAAAACUAUAUUCACAUUAUGAAAAUCUCAGAAUGUGAAGACUGAGAAAAAGGGGCAGAAAGCCUAGUUAAAGAAAUAAUGCCUGAAAACUUCCAAAUCUGGAGAUUGUAUUAUCCAAGUUCAUAAAGCUCACAACUCUUGAGAUCAAGAGCUGAAGCAUACUCUACUGACAGAGCCAGCCAGGUACCUAC